rnacentral:misc_RNA from 1 species
AGGAGAACCAACAAGUAACCACCCUGUUAGUGUGAGCCUAGAAAUUCGCUAGUGUUAGGUUCUGGAUUUGGGCUAUGGCGUUGUCGAAGGUGAUGGCGACCUCGUCAACGACGAAUCCCGAUCCGCCACGUCAACCCUCUUUAUGUUCCUCUCUCUCCAUCCCGCUCGCCGAUCUCCAAAACCAAAAUCAAAACCAAAACCAAUUCUCUUCUUCUCAGAGCCCUUUGCUCUCCGCGACUAUGGACGAUCUCUUGAAAAACAUCUACUCUUACCCUACUCAACUGACACCAAACGAUCUCCACGUGCCAU